rnacentral:rRNA from 1 species
CCCCGGGCUCAACCUGGGAAUNGCGUUCUGAACUGGGUGGCUAGAGUGUGUCAGAGGGGGGUAGAAUUCCACGUGUAGCAGUGAAAUGCGUAGAGAUGUGGAGGAAUACCGAUGGCGAAGGCAGCCCCCUGGGAUGGCACUGACGUUCAUGCCCGAAAGCGUGGGUAGCAAACAGGAUUAGAUACCCUGGUAGUCCACGCCCUAAACGAUGUCGAUUAGCUGUUGGGCAACUUGAUUGCUUGGUAGCGAAGCUAACGCGUGAAAUCGACCGCCUGGGGAGUACGGUCGCAAGAUUAAAACUCAAAGGAAUUGACGGGGACCCGCACAAGCGGUGGAUGAUGUGGAUUAAUUCGAUGCAACGCGAAGAACCUUACCUGGUCUUGACAUGUACGGAACCUUCCGGAGACGGAAGGGUGCCUUCGGGAGCCGUAACACAGGUGCUGCAUGGCUGUCGUCAGCUCGUGUCGUGAGAUGUUGGGUUAAGUCCCGCAACGAGCGCAACCCUUGUCAUUAGUUGCCAUCAUUUGGUUGGGCACUCUAAUGAGACUGCCGGUGACAAGCCGGAGGAAGGUGGGGAUGACGUCAAGUCCUCAUGGCCCUUAUGACCAGGGCUUCACACGUCAUACAAUGGUCGGUACAGAGGGUAGCCAAGCCGCGAGGUGGAGCCAAUCCCAAAAAACCGAUCGUAGUCCGGAUUGCACUCUGCAACUCGAGUGCAUGAAGUCGGAAUCGCUAGUAAUCGCAGGUCAGCAUACUGCGGUGAAUACGUUCCCGGGUCUUGUACACACCGCCCGUCACACCAUGGGAGUGGGGGAUACUAGAAGCAGG